rnacentral:ncRNA from 1 species
AGGUAUUUGUUCAUCAUAUAAGCUUCUGAUAAGGGGAAGCGUUUCUACCUGGCACCGUAAAUGCCGGACUAUGAUGAAAGCAUCUU